rnacentral:rRNA from 1 species
CAUGCAAGCCGAGCGGUAGCACAGAGAGCUUGCUCUCGGGUGACGAGCGGCGGACGGGUGAGUAAUGUCUGGGAAACUGCCUGAUGGAGGGGGAUAACUACUGGAAACGGUAGCUAAUACCGCAUAACGUCGCAAGACCAAAGAGGGGGACCUUCGGGCCUCUUGCCAUCAGAUGUGCCCAGAUGGGAUUAGCUAGUAGGUGGGGUAACGGCUCACCUAGGCGACGAUCCCUAGCUGGUCUGAGAGGAUGACCAGCCACACUGGAACUGAGACACGGUCCAGACUCCUACGGGAGGCAGCAGUGGGGAAUAUUGCACAAUGGGCGCAAGCCUGAUGCAGCCAUGCCGCGUGUAUGAAGAAGGCCUUCGGGUUGUAAAGUACUUUCAGCGGGG